UCCAGGAGAGUCACCGUGGAGCCUUCGU
rnacentral:sRNA from 1 species